GAUGAACGCUAGCGGCAGGCCUAACACAUGCAAGUCGAACGGGAUCCAUCAGCUUGCUGAUGGUGAGAGUGGCGCACGGGUGAGUAACGCGUAUGCAACCUACCUUUUACUGUGGGAUAG
rnacentral:rRNA from 1 species